AGCCUGAGAGGUGAUGCGUAGCCGUUGCGGUGAAUUCCAUGAUCCUAUGCUGCCGAGAAAAGCCUCUAGUGAGUUGGUACACGGCCCGUACCCCAAACCAACACAGGUGGUCAGGUAGAGAAUACUAAGGCGAUCGAGAGAACUGUGGUUAAGGAACUCGGCAAAAUGCCCCCGUAACUUCGGGAGAAGGGGGACCCAUCCUGGUGACGAGAUUUACUCUCUGAGCUGGUGUGGGUCGCAGAGACCAGAGAGAAGCGACUGUUUACUAAAAACACAGGUCCGUGCGAAGUCGUAAGACGAUGUAUACGGACUGACGCCUGCCCGGUGCUGGAAGGUUAAGAGGACCGGUUAGUUCCUUUCGGGGAGCGAAGCUGAGAAUUUAAGCCCCAGUAAACGGCGGUGGUAACUAUAACCAUCCUAAGGUAGCGAAAUUCCUUGUCGGGUAAGUUCCGACCUGCACGAAUGGCGUAACGACUUCUCUGCUGUCUCAACCACAGACUCGGCGAAAUUGCAGUACGAGUAAAGAUGCUCGUUACGCGCGGCAGGACGAAAAGACCCCGGGACCUUCACUAUAGCUUGGUAUUGGUGUUCGGUUCGGUUUGUGUAGGAUAGGUGGGAGACUGUGAAGUGGGCACGCCAGUGUUCAUGGAGUCGUUGUUGAAAUACCACUCUGAUCGUAUUGGACUUCUAACCUCGGACCCUGAUCGGGUUCAGGGACAGUGCCUGGUGGGUAGUUUAACUGGGGCGGUUGCCUCCUAAAAGGUAACGGAGGCGCCCAAAGGUUCCCUCAGCCUGGUUGGCAAUCAGGUGUUGAGUGUAAGUGCACAAGGGAGCUUGACUGUGAGACGUACAUGUCGAGCAGGGACGAAAGUCGGGACUAGUGAUCCGGCACCGGCAAGUGGAAGCGGUGUCGCUCAACGGAUAAAAGGUACCCCGGGGAUAACAGGCUGAUCUUCCCCAAGAGUCCAUAUCGACGGGAUGGUUUGGCACCUCGAUGUCGGCUCGUCGCAUCCUGGGGCUGGAGUAGGUCCCAAGGGUUGGGCUGUUCGCCCAUUAAAGCGGCACGCGAGCUGGGUUUAGAACGUCGUGAGACAGUUCGGUCUCUAUCCGCCGCGCGCGUAAGAAACUUGAGGAAACCUGUCCCUAGUACGAGAGGACCGGGACGGACGAACCUCUGGUGUGCCAGUUGUCCCGCCAGGGGCACCGCUGGUUAGCUACGUUCGGAAGGGAUAACCGCUGAAAGCAUCUAAGCGGGAAGCCUGUUCCAAGAUGAGGUUUCUCACCCCCUUUGCGGGGUUAAGGCCCCCUACAGACCAUGGGGUUGAUAGGCCAGAACUGUACGCACAGCAAUGUGUUCAGGUGACUGGUACUAAUCGGCCGAGGACUUACCAAC
rnacentral:rRNA from 1 species